AUACGUAGGGGGCGAGCGUUGUCCGGAAUUACUGGGCGUAAAGGGCGUGUAGGCGGCCUGUUAAGUCAGGCGUGAAAACCCCGGGCUUAACCUGGGGACUGCGUUUGAAACUGGCGGGCUUGAGGGCAGGAGAGGAAAGUGGAAUUCCCGGUGUAGCGGUGAUAUGCGUAGAUACCGGGAGGAACACCAGUGGCGAAGGCGGCUUUCUGGACUGCACCUGACGCUGAGGCGCGAAAGCCAGGGGAGCGAACGGGAUUAGAUACCCCGGUAGUCCUGGCCGUAAACGAUGGGUACUAGGUGUGGGAGGUAUCGACUCCUUCCGUGCCGGAGUUAACACAAUAAGUACCCCGCCUGGGGAGUACGGCCGCAAGGCUGAA
rnacentral:rRNA from 1 species